GAUGAACGCUGGCGGCGUGCCUAAUACAUGCAAGUCGAGCGAACGGACGAGAAGCUUGCUUCUCUGAUGUUAGCGGCGGACGGGUGAGUAACACGUGGAUAACCUACCUAUAAGACUGGGAUAACUUCGGGAAACCGGAGCUAAUACCGGAUAAUAUUUUGAACCGCAUGGUUCAAAAGUGAAAGACGGUCUUGCUGUCACUUAUAGAUGGAUCCGCGCUGCAUUAGCUAGUUGGUAAGGUAACGGCUUACCAAGGCAACGAUGCAUAGCCGACCUGAGAGGGUGAUCGGCCACACUGGAACUGAGACACGGUCCAGACUCCUACGGGAGGCAGCAGUAGGGAAUCUUCCGCAAUGGGCGAAAGCCUGACGGAGCAACGCCGCGUGAGUGAUGAAGGUCUUCGGAUCGUAAAACUCUGUUAUUAGGGAAGAACAUAUGUGUAAGUAACUGUGCACAUCUUGACGGUACCCAAUCAGAAAGCCACGGCUAACUGCGUG
rnacentral:rRNA from 1 species